rnacentral:rRNA from 1 species
AGAGUUUGAUCAUGGCUCAGGAUGAACGCUAGCUACAGGCUUAACACAUGCAAGUCGAGGGGGAAACGACAUCGAAAGCUUGCUUUUGAUGGGCGUCGACCGGCGCACGGGUGAGUAACGCGUAUCCAACCUGCCCAUCACUUGGGGAUAACCCUUGCGAAAGUAAGACUAAUACCCAAUGACGUCUCUAGAAGACAUCUGAAAGAGAUUAAAGAUUUAUCGGUGAUGGAUGGGGAUGCGUCUGAUUAGCUUGUUGGCGGGGUAACGGCCACCAAGGCGACGAUCAGUAGGGGUUUUGAGAGGAAGGUCCCCACAUUGGAACUGAGACACGGUCCAAACUCCUACGGGAGGCA